UUUUUUUUUUUCGUUUUUUUUUUUUUCCAAAAAACCAACACAGGUGUUUGCUCCAUAGGCCUUUUUCUUCUCCCUAGGCAGGCUGGUACUGGGGUACUCAUUGCUAGUCUAGUCCCAAUAUUGUUUUGAACCAUAGAAGGCUUAGUCUUCAGAAUCAUUUUUACUCUUCCCUAAAGUGGAAGACACCCCAUUCAUUCUACAAAUACGAUGCACCAGGCAUUGUUCCAGAAACGAAAGCUUGAAUAAUGAACUAAAUAGACAAAAGUCCUUACCCUCAUUAAGAUUACAUUACGAUGGAAGGAGGCAGAUAGUAAAGACAACACAGAAGUAUGAUAAAUGUUAUGUAUGUUAUGUUAGUUAAUGAUAGGUGCCAUGGACAAAAUCAAGCAGAAAGGGGGAUAAGGAGUAUGGGGGUCCCUCUUGGGAAGGGUGUCAGGGAAGGCCUCCCUGAGGAGGUGACAUCAGGCAAAGACAAGAAAGGGGUGAGGGAAUAAGCUAUAUGCGGGAAGAGCAUUCCAGGUAGUGGAAAAAGCAAAGGUUUGGAGCUGAGAGUGUGCCUGGGGCAUUCCAGGAACAGUAAGGAAGGCAGCCGGUGAGAGCCCACGGAGUGAGGGGUAGAGGAGGAGGUGAAGGCAGAGAGGUCAGGGAGGUUUGGCAGUAGGCAACAUUGUCUAGGUCCUCAUAGUGAAAUGGGAAAGUCAUGUAGGAGUUCCAGAGGACUACUGAGAAUGCUCUAUUAGCACAGACUGAGGGAAGGCAAGAAUGGAAGAAGGGAGGACCAGUUAGGGAACUUCCUUAACCCAGGUGGGAAAUAAGAUGGGUUAGACUAGUAGCCAAAGAGGUGUGACAGUAUUUGUGACUGUGAGUAUAUUCUGAAGGUGGAGCCAGCAAGAUUUUCCGUCCAAUCGUAUCUUGGGCGUGAGUGAGAAAGGAGGCAAGGACUCCAAGGUUCUUGACAUCGGUGGAAGAAUGGAGUUGUCCUUUCCUGAGAUGGGGGAGGGAUGCAGAUGGAGCAUGUUUUAGGGCAAAAACGGGGAGCUGUAAUUACACUUGCGAUUACCAUGGCUUCCCAAGGUCGCUGGGGCUCUCAGAAGGUCAUGAUUCCAAAUUAGAUCAGUGGUCUGGACUAGGCCAUGACUGAAAUACCUUCUUGGGAUGCCAGCUCCAAGGAAUAUGUGCACCAAAGGCUUUCUCCUCCUCCUGAGCUAUCCUGUUCCAAACCAGACUUGCACUGAAAUAUUGCACUAAAUGCUUUUAAAUCUGUUUUCUGCAUGAAUAUAUAAUCAAAAGAAUAGGCAAACACACACACACACCUCUAAAACCUUGAAAACAACUUAAAAAGCUGGGUUUCCUCCUACUAGAGAACUCACUGUUCUCCAAAUACCAAAAUUCAAUUCAACUCUACAUUUGCAGGGCUGUGACAUCAGCAGGAAGACACUGGUUCCUAGAUAAUGCCGGGCUAAGGCUAGUACAGAAACCACAUCAGGGCCAAUCUGAAAUGUGGCUGAUUGAAGAAUGUAAUCAGGAACUCACUGGAUAAAUGAUCCAAAAGGAAGGGAUGCAUUUAAAACAGCAGUUACUAUAGCACCUGCCGCAGCAAUACGUAAAAUGGGAUAUUGCAACAAAAAUACGGAAAGGUGAAGGAAAGCAAAAAAGCCAUAUUAGUGGGAGGAAAAAACAGAACAGAAACUGAUUUGUUAGAUUACUUCAAAAGGUUAAGAAGAG
rnacentral:lncRNA from 1 species